UCUUUUCUAUGGAAGCUUGCUUCCACUGAGAAGAUAGUGGCGAACGGGUGAGUAACACGUGGGUAACCUGCCCAUAAGAGGGGGAUAACAUCCGGAAACGGGUGCUAAUACCGCAUAGUUUUCUUGAUCGCAUGAUCGAGAAAGGAAAGACGGGCUUUGUGCUGUCGCUUAUGGAUGGACCCGCGGCGUAUUAGUUAGUUGGUGAGGUAACGGCUCACCAAGACGAUGAUACGUAGCCGACCUGAGAGGGUGAUCGGCCACAUUGGGACUGAGACACGGCCCAAACUCCUACGGGAGGCAGCAGUAGGGAAUCUUCCGCAAUGGACGAAAGUCUGACGGAGCAACGCCGCGUGAGUGAAGAAGGUUUUCGGAUCGUAAAACUCUGUUGUCAGAGAAGAACAAGUCGGAGAGUAACUGCUCCGGCCUUGACGGUAUCUGACCAGAAAGCCACGGCUAACUACGUGCCAGCAGCCGCGGUAAUACGUAGGUGGCAAGCGUUGUCCGGAUUUAUUGGGCGUAAAGCGAGCGCAGGCGGUUCCUUAAGUCUGAUGUGAAAGCCCACGCUCAACCGUGGAAGGUCAUUGGAAACUGGGGAACUUGAAUUGCAGAAGAAGAGAGUGGAAUUCCAUGUUUAGCGGUGAAAUGCGUUAAAUUUUAUGGAGGAACACCAGUGGCGAAAGCGAAUCUCUGGUCUUGUAACUUGACGCUUGAGCUCGAAAGCGUGGGGAGCAAACAGGAUUAAAUACCCUGGGUAAUCCCAGCCGUAAAACAAUG
rnacentral:rRNA from 1 species